CGUAGCCGCGGGAAAACGGAGGGUGCAAGCGUUAUCCGGAUUUAUUGGGUUUAAAGGGUCCGUAGGCGGAUCUGUAAGUCAGUGGUGAAAUCUCACAGCUUAACUGUGAAACUGCCAUUGAUACUGCAGGUCUUGAGUAAAUUUGAAGUGGCUGGAAUAAGUAGUGUAGCGGUGAAAUGCAUAGAUAUUACUUAGAACACCAAUUGCGAAGGCAGGUCACUAAGAUUUAACUGACGCUGAUGGACGAAAGCGUGGGGAGCGAACAGGAUUAGAGACCCCUGUAGUCCCUGUCUCUUAUACA
rnacentral:rRNA from 1 species